CAUUCAUUAUGGCGAUGUCGUCUGCAUGAGGAACGAUUCCGCUUCAGCCGACGAUCAUGAAAUCGCGCGUGCAAAAACGUGACGACGGAGACCGCGUGUAACAAUGUGGUGGACGUCAAUAAAACACACGUGUGCAGUGGGACUACAAUGGACAGGGCUUGCAGUACCAGAUCAUUUGCUGGUCCAGUGUUUAUACUCAUCUACACAUUCGCUGGCAUACCUAUAGGUUUUGCGGCCGAUCUUUACAACAGGAAGUCUAUGCUGGCCGUCAGCGUCUGCUUCUGGUCGCUAAUGACUCUACUUAUGGGAUUCGUCGUUGAGUACUGGCAGCUUGCGUUGCUGCGCUUUGGACUCGGCCUCGGG